rnacentral:rRNA from 1 species
CACGUAGUUAGCCGGUGCUUAUUCUUACGGUACCGUCAUGGGCCUCUCGUAUUAGGAGAAGCUUUUUCGUUCCGUACAAAAGCAGUUUACAACCCGAAGGCCUUCAUCCUGCACGCGGCAUUGCUGGAUCAGGCUUUCGCCCAUUGUCCAAAAUUCCCCACUGCUGCCUCCCGUAGGAGUCUGGCCGUGUCUCAGUCCCAGUGUGGCUGGUCGUCCUCUCAGACCAGCUACAGAUCGUCGGCUUGGUAAGCUUUUAUCCCACCAACUACCUAAUCUGCCAUCGGCCGCUCCAAUCGCGCGAGGCCCGAAGGUCCCCCGCUUUCGAUCCUCAGAUCGUAUGCGGUACUAGCUACUCUUUCGAGUAGUUACUCCCCCAGACUGGGCACGUUCCGAUGUAUUCUCACCCGUUCGCCACUCGUCAGCGUCCGAGACCUGUACCGUUGACUUGCAUGUGUACGCAUCGCCGCAGCGUUCAAUCUGACGCAGGACUCGAAACUCUCU